rnacentral:rRNA from 1 species
UACGGAGGAUCCAAGCGUUAUCCGGAAUCAUUGGGUUUAAAGGGUCCGUAGGCGGUUUGGUAAGUCAGUGGUGAAAGCCCAUCGCUCAACGGUGGAACGGCCAUUGAUACUGCCAGACUUGAAUUAUUAGGAAGUAACUAGAAUAUGUAGUGUAGCGGUGAAAUACUUAGAGAUUACAUGGAAUACCAAUUGCGAAGGCAGGUUACUACUAAUGGAUUGACGCUGAUGGACGAAAGCAUGGGUAGCGAACAGG